rnacentral:rRNA from 1 species
GUUAUACUGUCUCCUUUUCCUAAUCAGUGAAACUAAUCUCCCCGUGAAGAAGCGUGGAUAAAAUUAUAAGACGAGAAGACCCUAUGGAGCUUUAAACAACACAGCACUUACCUGAGAACCUUGAAUGUUUCUGUANACACUNAACUCUNUAGAGUAAGAUGACUGCAAGUUUUUGGUUGGGGUGACCACGGAGUAUAUCAUAACCUCCAUGUUGAAAGAAUUUUNNUCUAAGCCAAGAACAACCUGUCUAAGCAUUAAUAAAUUAACAUCUAUUGACCCAAUAAAUUUGACCAACGAACCAAGUUACCCUAGGGAUAACAGCGCAAUCCACUUCAAGAGCUCCUAUCGACAAGUGGGUUUACGACCUCGAUGUUGGAUCAGGGUAUCCCAGUGGUGCAGCCGCUACUAAAGGUUCGUUUGUUCAACGAUUAAAACCCUACGUGAUCUGAGUU